rnacentral:rRNA from 1 species
UACGUAGGUGGCAAGCGUUGUCCGGAUUUAUUGGGUCUAAAGGGUGCGUAGGCGGUCUUAUAAGUCAGUGCUGAAAUAUCCCGGCUUAACCGGGAGGGUGGCAUUGAUACUGUAGGACUUGAGUAAAGUUGAGGUUGGCGGAAUUGACGGUGUAGCGGUGAAAUGCUUAGAUAUCGUCAAGAACACCUAUAGCGAAGGCAGCUAACUAAGCUUUAACUGACGCUGAGGCACGAAAGUGUGGGGAUCAAACAGG